CAGCCGCCACGGGAAUACGAAGGGUGCAAGCGUUACUCGGAAUUACUGGGCGUAAAGCGUGCGUAGGUGGUGGUUUAAGUCCGUUGUGAAAGCCCUGGGCUCAACCUGGGAAUUGCAGUGGAUACUGGGUCACUAGAGUGUGGUAGAGGAUAGUGGAAUUUCCGGUGUAGCAGUGAAAUGCGUAGAGAUCGGAAGGAACAUCUGUGGCGAAGGCGACUAUCUGGGCCAACACUGACACUGAGGCACGAAAGCGUGGGGAGCAAACAGGAUUAGAUACCCCGGUAGUCCCUGUCUCUUAUAC
rnacentral:rRNA from 1 species